rnacentral:rRNA from 1 species
UACGUAGGGUGCGAGCGUUGUCCGGAAUUAUUGGGCGUAAAGAGCUCGUAGGCGGCUUGUCGCGUCGAUUGUGAAAGCCCGGGGCUUAACUCCGGGUCUGCAGUCGAUACGGGCAGGCUAGAGUGUGGUAGGGGAGAUCGGAAUUCCUGGUGUAGCGGUGAAAUGCGCAGAUAUCAGGGGGAACACCGGUGGCGAAGGCGGAUCUCUGGGCCAUUACUGACGCUGAGGAGCGAAAGCGUGGGGAGCGAACAGG